UCACGCACACACGCGCGGCAUAUCAAUAAGCGGAGGAAAAGAAACUAACAAGGAUUCCCUUAGUAACGGCGAGUGAAGCGGGAAGAGCUCAAAUUUGAAAUCUUCAAGGUUCUACCUUGACGAAUUGUAGUUUACAGAAGUGUUUUCUGUUAGUGGAGUGGCAAAAGUUCUUUGGAAUAGGACAUCAUAGAGGGUGAGAAUCCCGUAUUUGGUCAUUCCUCCUAGCGUUGUGAUACACUUUCAACGAGUCGGAUUGUUUGGGAAUGCAGUCCAAAAUGGGUGGUAAAUUUCAUCUAAAGCUAAAUAUUGGCGAGAGACCGAUAGCGAACAAGUACCGUGAGGGAAAGAUGAAAAGAACUUUGAAAAGAGAGUUAAACAGUACGUGAAAUUGUCAAAAGGGAAGCGUUUGACACCAGUGUUGUUUUUCCGAAAAUCAAUUACGAAUGUUUUAUUUUUGAGGAGUUAUGACUUCAUCGGCUUGCUCCUUUCUUUAUGAAACUUUCUUAAUGCACUUUUCGGUUAACAAGUCAACAUCAAUUUCUUUUGUUGUAAAAGGGUAUGAGGAAGGUGGCUUUCUAUUCGGAGAAAGUGUUUAUAGCCUUGUGCCUCUGCAAUCGGAGAGAUUGAGGUCUGCAGCGUAGAUCCUUCGGGGUUAGAUACGUUUGUGCUAAGUUAUAGCUUUUCAUAGACAACUUGUUGACUAUGUUUAGUCUUGUAGCUUACUCGCUGACGCUAUUUUACCUACGCUUAGGAUGUUGAUCUCUCACAGUCGAGC
rnacentral:rRNA from 1 species